UGACAGUGCGAUGAUGGCAUAAUAGGCCAUUUGAACACCAGCUCUUACUUUGACCUUUCAGAAUAUGUAGAUUGGUGCUUGUCAUGGACUUUAUUCAGUUAUUACGGUUACCGGGGACUCAUUCGAUGCAUUUCCCAGCGGCUCAUUACGAGAAAGAGACAGGAAGGCUGACAGCUUGGGUGACCUCAUUUUCAGGAUGCGCUGCCGUCCCGCUAACCCAUUAGCUUUCUGAGCCAACUCACUUUUUUUCAAGGAUUGUUGAUGGUGGACA